rnacentral:lncRNA from 1 species
ACACGGACGCACGGUUUUCCCCCAAGCGAACCGGGAUGGGAAGUGACUUCAGUUAGAUAGAACUUCAGCUGGACCGAAAGAGAGGCGAGAAGUUCCGUUUGCAGGCGACACCGGCGGUGAAGCCGAAUGAGUAAUACCCACACGGUCCCUGUCUCACUUCCUCAUCCGCAUCAGGCUCUCACCUGCUGUCACCUCGGCCUCCCCCGCCCCGCCGCCUCGCUCUCUGCCCUCCUCCCUGCUUUCCCCUGAGAGCAGAUGGACGAGAUGGGAGGCGCAAAGACGGAGAGUUAAGGUACUAAUGCGCCAUGAUUUACCGUCAAAACGGGCAAUUAUCGCUGAAUGGGACCUUGAGGAAAGAAACACGGCUAACAAAUGUGGUCUUUGAAACUGGUAGAUUGCUGAUCUUAUCUCAAGUCUCUGUACAAGUUUGGGGAUUUCUGAAAGACCAUAUAGAUAAC